rnacentral:rRNA from 1 species
UGAGGAAUAUUGGUCAAUGGGCGAGAGCCUGAACCAGCCAAGUAGCGUGCAGGAUGACGGCCCUAUGGGUUGUAAACUGCUUUUAUGUGGGGAUAAAGUGCGUGACGUGUCAUGCAUUGCAGGUACCACAUGAAUAAGGACCGGCUAAUUCCGUGCCAGCAGCCGCGGUAAUACGGAAGGUCUGGGCGUUAUCCGGAUUUAUUGGGUUUAAAGGGAGCGUAGGCUGUCUAUUAAGCGUGUUGUGAAAUUUACCGGCUCAACCGGUGGCUUGCAGCGCGCACUGGUCGACUUGAGUAUGCAGGAAGUAGGCGGAAUUCAUGGUGUAGCGGUGAAAUGCUUAGAUAUCAUGACGAACUCCGAUUGCGCAGGCAGCUUACUGUAGCAUAACUGACGCUGAUGCUCGAAAGUGCGGGUAUCAAACAGG